GGGGUCAAUACAGAGUUUAUUUUAGAGGGUUUGGGCAGUUCCUCCCACCCUGCAGAUCAAGAUGCCCUGAGGGCAAAGAGCAGAGGGGUGCUCUCUGGUGGCCCAGCAGUUCUGCCCCAGGGGAGAGGUUUCUCUUCUACUACAGCGAAAACCCACAGGACUCUGCUUCAUCCCAGAACCAAGGAUACCAGGAAGGAAGGUCAGAGUGAGGAGGUGUCUGAGUCUUUCAGAUCACACAGUGACAUCACACAGUGACAUCCUGCUUGAUGGCUUCAGAAAUCCUCCAUGAGCUGGGAGACAGCCCCCGAGGUGACAGCUUUCAGAUUGGAGUGGGUGCUUUACUUGUUUUUAUGGAUUAUUGUGUCAACCAAAACGAGAGGUCGGAAUCACUCUAAAGAUUUGAAACAUCUUCAAGGUUUGACGAAUGCACAUUUUAAUGCCACAUCUACUUCUAGGAAGCUGUGGCUGAAUAAAGCAUUUUAUUAUAUGGCAUUCCCCAAAUUACUUAUAUGGAAUUUUAAUCUACAUAAUGUCAUACAACCAUGUGAAAAGUAAAAACUAAAAAGCAAUAACUUUUUGGGCUAGGAGUGGUGGCUCAUUCCUGUAAUCCCAGAACUUUGGGAGGCCAAUGUUGGAGGAUCACUUGAGGCUAGGAGUUGGAGGUCAGCCAUGGCAAGCAACAUGGUGAGACCCUGUCUCUAUGCAUUAUUUUAAAAAUUAACCAAGUGUAGUAACAUGUGACUGUAGUACCAGCUCCUCAGGAGGCUAAGGUAGGAGGAUCUCUUGAGCCUGGGCGACAGUAUGAGAGCCUGUCUCAAAGAAAACAACAACAACUGCAGCAGAAAUAACAAAAUUUAACCCCCAAUAAACUAAAUUGAUGGAGAAUUGUGGGACCCAAAUGACCAAAGAAUGCGAUUUUUCACUUUUGAUGAAUUAAAGGGUCUGCUGAGUGUCAGGAUUCCCAGAAUGUUUCAUCUCAGGAAAUACCAUUUCCUCUGGUGAAUCCACUCCUUAGUCCAGGUCCCCUGAGAAGCAGGUGCCUACAUGGGAUUCACGUGAGGGGUUUUCAUUGGGAGAAACCCUGGGAGAACCAUUCAGCAGGAUGCAAUUCUGACCCCAAGUGCAGGAGGGAGGGACAGGAGGUUGGGCAGGUGCAUCCUACGCUACAGUGAAUGGUGCUGGGACAACUGGAUGCCACAUGCAGAAGAAUGAGGCAGACCCCUUCCUUACAGCACACACAAAAACUAGCUCUAGAUGAAUGGCAGAUGUCCACCUAAGACAUGAAACAAUGAAAGUCUCAGAAGAAAACAGAGCAGUAAAUUUCUGUGACCCCGAAUUUUACAAAUGCUUCUUAAGUACUGUACGCCAAUAGCACAAAUGGCAAAAUAAAAAGUAGUUUAAUUUCAUUUCAUGCAAAUGUAAACUUUUGUGCUUCAAAAAGGACUCCAUUAGGAAGGUUAAAAACUUACAGAAUGACAGAAAGCAUUUGAAAAUCAUAUAUCUAAUAAGGGACUGGUAUCCUGAAUAUAUAAAGAACUCUUGCAACCCAACAUUAUAAAGCAAAAUAACACAAUUAAAUAUAUGCAAAGAAUUUGAAAAGAUGUUUCUCCAAAGUGAGACAGGUGUAAUACAGUGUGGCCACCAAAGAGAAAAUUUUAGGCAGCAGUUUCAGGUUGACUAGCAAAAGGAAUCUGUUGAAGUAUCUGCAGAGGCUGUGGGCUACUAAGACCCUAAAAGACAGAGUAUGGGCCAAGCUGGCUAAGAAUGAGUGGACCCAACAUGACCCUGGGUUUGACCUCGGUUUCACCUAGGACCCUAUUAUACACUCAUUAACAUACUAAACACACACCCACCAGCAUCCUAACAAUUCUGAGAACACCCAUAUUUGGUGUAAAACUGGGUGGUGCCACAGUUCUAAGCAAUCUCCACCUUCUUUCAGGAAUUUUCAUGAAUAUUCCAUCCCUUGGUUAAAGAAACCCAGAAAGGUGGCAGCCCCAAACCCCCUUGCACCUGCCUCUCUCUUGAGUUCCCCUGCACUCCUGUAGAAGGAGGGGAAACUGGUACAGGCUUCCUGAGGGACAGUGUGACAGAGUUCAUCAAGAGUCAAAAAUAUCCAAGUCUGAAAUAAGAAUAUGUAUUAAGAAUGAAUUAAGAAUAUGUAGAAUAGAUUCUGGAUAUCUAUUCUACACAGUUAAAUUGAGAUUCAUGCAAGCACAGUUUCUGCAGCAUUUCGUUUCUGUAAAAGUAGCUGACUGGAGACCAUCUAGAUCUUCAGACACAGACACUGGUUGCAUUUGUUGUGAGUGUGUACUUUUCCUUUUAGAAAAACUCUCCGCCCUUUCUCUAUUUUCCUACUGGUCCUAGAAUUUAUUUCCCCAGGCGGUGUCAAGAGCCCGACACCUGCUGGGGUCGAGGUCUCAUCAGAGUUUGGGGACCACCCAUUGCCCACUGGCAUCAGAAGAAGAAUGCAAAUGGCAGUGAACCCAGGAAGAGGUGCUCAGUGUCCACAGCCCUCAGGGCAAUACCAACAGCACCCACAAGGGGACUCCUCACCCCGCUGGAAUGGAUGACCCUAAACACAGUGAGGGUGGAUGGGUGGGGCCUGCGUUCCUUACAGAGCAGGGAGCAGGAGACGGAGAGUUGGUGUAGUGUAGGGUCUGUGUGUGUGUCAUCCUCCUCCCAUUUUCCUGGCGGAGGUUUCUGUUUGUUCUCUGGCCCUACCUGUUUCCUUCCUCGCCCUUUCUCUGGUUCUCCCAUUCUUCAUUUCUAACCAUCCCAAGGUUUUCUCUGCCUCACGACGUCUUUGCUCCGGGCCCCCAGCCCAGUGGAGAAACCAGGGGCCCUGGACCGUGAGCGGCAGGGUCGGGGAGGCGACAACGGGAAGCUCCUGUUGGACCCUGGGCACUCAGGAUCUAGUGCGCCACGGGCACCCUCCCGCAGCAGCCCCAAGGCAAGGAGGAUGGGGUCCUCGCGUGGGCCACACUGUCGGAUCCCCAGAGAUCCGAGCGGGACGGGGACGUCUCCACUGAGCCGGUGGCAAAGUCCCCACGAGGAUGAAGGAGGAACCUCGUGCUCUUCACCCCAC
rnacentral:lncRNA from 1 species